rnacentral:rRNA from 1 species
GACGAACGCUGGCGGCGUGCUUAACACAUGCAAGUCGAACGCUGAAGCUCAGCUUUUGUUGGGUGGAUGAGUGGCGAACGGGUGAGUAACACGUGAGUAACCUGCCUCCUUCUUUGGGAUAACGCCCGGAAACGGGUGCUAAUACUGGAUAUUCACUGGUCUUCGCAUGGGGGUUGGUGGAAAGGGUUUUUCUGGUGGGGGAUGGGCUCGCGGCCUAUCAGCUUGUUGGUGGGGUGAUGGCCUACCAAGGCUUUGACGGGUAGCCGGCCUGAGAGGGUGACCGGUCACAUUGGGACUGAGAUACGGCCCAGACUCCUACGGGAGGCAGCAGUGGGGAAUAUUGCACAAUGGGCGCAAGCCUGAUGCAGCGACGCCGCGUGAGGAAUGGAGGCCUUCGGGUUGUGAACCUCUUUCGCUCAUGGUCAAGCCGCAACAAUGGUUGUGGUGAGGGUAGUGGGUAAAGAAGCGCCGGCUAACUACGUG